GGGGGGGUUGGGGAGAGCACAGUAAACUUUUUACUUGUUAUCUAUUGACUAAAAGAUAACAAACACUAGUUUUUAAUUUAUAUUACAGUCUCCAUAGUUAACGUUUUAAGUAUCUGAAUUCAAAAUAAAGUACAGAAUGAUAUUGGUAAUAUUCACAUCUUUCAAGAAACACUAAUGGCAAAUAUUUAAGUACAUGAGAAGGAAAAGCUCUCUUCAUAUAGUGGUUUGAAUAUCAUAUAUAAUGGCAACUUUAUGUUCAAUUCCUUCUAUAGCAAACUAUUAACAUUAUUUAAUUAACAAAUGUUUUUGGGUGUGACUGAAAGAAAAAGUAUCCCUAUUGUGGCAACAACAUAAACAUGAUUAAAGAACAUAAAUUAGGGAAUAGAGAACUCAGUGUUUUUAUGUCAUGUUCUGUACAAAACAUUUUAAGUACUAGAUAGAGAGGUAGAAGAGUUGGUGAGUAGAGGCGAGAUCAUUUUCUUUCCUAUGCAAAGCCCCAAGCAAAACUCUAAAGUAGGCAAAGUCUUGGGUACUGAGUCUCACCGUUUUUUCUGCAAUAGCAGUUCUAUUCUGCUUUAAGCUUUAGUCCUGUAUCUCUGUAUUUGUUUAAAAGGUAUAGAGAAAAAUGAAAAUAAUUACUAAAAUGUAAUCACUGAAAAUUGAUGUUUUUCAGUUCCUGUAUUCUUAAAUAUUAUUUUAAAAAUAGCUAACUAUGUUUUCAUCAAUAUCCUUUAAAAUUGGUUCAACUCAGACUUCCUAAGUGUUGCUGAUCUAUGAAACCACUAAAAAAAGCAGAACAAAAACAAUACAAAACGACUCUAAUACAACUCACUAGCACAAGAAUUUACCAUAAUUCCACUAUUGUAAUUACAGCUAGAGUUUGAAACCGAGAAAAUUUACAAGCAUUAAGAAUAUUAUUUCAUUUGGAUGACACAGGAUAGUUAACAUAAAUCCUGUAUUUUAGAGAGAUGCUCUCAUGAUCAAUACCAGAUUAUGUUGAUACUUGCUGAUGCUGAGCUAGGCAUAGGGAGCAAAGAGUUUACAUUUCCUUCUACUCAAGACUACUAGCACCAAUGAACUUUUUAUGAAUUGAUGAAUGAAAUAACAUAAUCUCUACAAUUUCAUGGAGGGGGGCACUCAAAUUAACUAUAAAAUUACUGAGGCUACCCAAAACUUAAAGCAAAGGAAAAUUUUUGAAAAUUUAUUAUUCUAAUUUUAAAAAUAAGCACUGCUGCUUUAAGUGACCAGCAGCCUCACAUCAACUCCAGGCUGCAAUCACAACAUCCAUUAGAGUGCUCCACAGCUCAGAGCAAGCAAGCAAGUGGUUGUCAGUGCAGCUAGUAAAUCACCUGAUCCUAUUACAAAAUCAAUUACUGCAGUGCAUUUCCAUUGCUACACAAUCUGAUGAUGACAAAAUGAUAUUGGAUAGCUACUGCAAGGUCAAGAAAACUGCUAAGAACAUCUUUAAUUGGUCUUUUAUUUUUAAUCAUUUGGUCCUAGUUAUAAGGCAUCCAUUUUAAUUGUAUAUUUUUAUUUGAAAUAAAUCUAUGUAGUUACCUUUGGUUGCCUGGGACAUUCGAUGGAUAAUCUCUGCAACUGGUCUGAGGUAUGGCUACAAGAGAACAGAUCGGAGCAGCAGGUCGAACGGCUCAACCUCUUCAUUAAAGAAGAAAUAAUGCUGCAGCCACAGCCACACAUUGACUUGUUCAUUAGAUGAGAACUUAACUUUAAAAAUCAGAACUGGUAAUGUCCCAUAUAUACUCAAAAUUGGCUAACUGCCUCAUUCUGCAGCUCUCUGGCUGAAAGAAACACUGCUAAAAAAGAAUAAAACAUCAGCUUCUCUAAAGAAGAUACCAGACACAAACUCAUCGCCAAGAAAAAGUCGAUAUCAAAAACAGAAGUCUCCCAGCUACUCUUUAGAAAUAAGGUAAGGUGCUUUAAUAUUUCAUACUGUUUUCUAUUAAAGCCCAAGUACUUAACAAAGGAGCAAACUCGAGAUAGUAUACCCCAAAAUUAUACUAACCACUCUUUCUGUCCUCCAUCAGUUUAGAUCUGUUUGCCUACUCCUUCAGCUCAGCCUAUCCAACCUGUUCCCUCUGUAAAUGCACACUAUUUCAACAACCAACUGGAAUGAGCCCCACCCCUCCCUGUCUCCACACACACUGUUCAAGAACCGCUCAAUAUCUGGAAAAGAACGGCUGCUGCAUUGCUUUGAGAAACAACAGGGAGCAAAUUACUGGACGGAUUCUUUAACUUACCAAUCAGAACUCCUGACCUUUUAUGACUCCACGAUUCAAGAAGCCUGCCAAACACUCACAGUAAGAAUAAUCUACUGAUUUUACUUCUAUGCUAUGGAUUUACAGAACUGUUUUCUACCUUAUUAUUUAAUCUAAAAUACAAAAACAUAGAUAGGUGUAUGUGUUUUCUAAAACAAAAUUUAGACAGUAGCUGAUAAAAAUCUUUGAGUAUUGCUGGAAGAGGACAGGGCAGUGGUUGAUAUGAGAAGUAAAAAACUCCCUCUGAAUCUGUAUUUAAACUUGAGAAAUACAGAGUGGAAGAAUUCUAUAGGAAAACUAGGGGUGUAGGUAAUGAUGGAACAAAUAAGCAAUGUAAUCCAAGGAGAUCCCUGCUAUCAUAAAUGUUAGAAGAGUUCUAAUAAGCUGAGUGAAGUAAGUCAGUCGGAGAAGGACAAACAUUAUAUGUUCUCAUUCAUUUGGGGAAUAUAAAUAAUAGUGAAAGGGAAAAUAAGGGAAGGGAGAAGAAAUGUGUGGGAAAUAUCAGAAAGGGAGACAGAACGUAAAGACUGCUAACUCUGGGAAACGAACUAGGGGUGGUAGAAGGGGAGGAGGGCGGGGGGUGGGAGUGAAUGGGUGACGGGCACUGGGUGUUAUUCUGUAUGUUAGUAAAUUGAACACCAAUAAAAAAAUAAAAAUAAAAAAAUAAAAAAAAAAAAAAUAAAUAAAAAAAAA
rnacentral:lncRNA from 1 species